rnacentral:rRNA from 1 species
GCUAAACGCGAAGAACCUUACCUGGCCUUGACAUCCUAGGAAUCCCGAAGAGAUUUGGGAGUGCCGCAAGGAACCUAGAGACAGGUGCUGCAUGGCUGUCGUCAGCUCGUGUCGUGAGAUGUUGGGUUAAGUCCCGCAACGAGCGCAACCCUUGUCCUUAGUUGCCAUCAUUAAGUUGGGAACUCUAAGGAGACCGCCGGUGACAAACCGGAGGAAGGUGGGGAUGACGUCAAGUCAUCAUGGCCUUUAUGGCCAGGGCUACACACGUGUUACAAUGGCAGGUACAGAGGGAAGCCAACCGGCGACGGGGAGCUAAUCCCAGAAAGCCUGUCUUAGUCCGGAUUGCAGUCUGCAACUCGACUGCAUGAAGUUGGAAUCGCUAGUAAUCGUGGAUCAGCAUGCCACGGUGAAUACGUUCCCGGGUCUUGUACACACCG